GGUCGAUUUUGGAAGAGGGGGGGGAAAGGAUCGAUGAAUUGGAAAACGAUCGAAAACGACCCUCCGUCACACGGCACGCGACACGGAAUCGAAUAUUCAUCGGUGCGCGCUCCUUUUUUUUUCUCACGAGCCCACUGCCACCUUUGACCAAAGGACGAAAGCACCGUGACGAACCAACCGUGAAAAUGGCGGAUAGCUACGUGCAAACCGAGUUACGUUACGACGUCGAGAUGUAGUCGUGCAACUGUGAAGAACUGUGGCAGAAAAAGAAUGGACAGCAGCUGCUAGACGACCGACAAAUUAGUCAGAAUUCACAUAUAUGGCAUCGAUUACAAGUUUCCUGAACGUGAGCAACGGGCAUAAACGACUAACCAUAGAAAGCGUCGAAGAAACGAAAAAUUUAUACGUAUUUACAUGUUAACGAUAUAUCCACAUUUUUUUUCGAGGAUUCGAAAUUAUAAAUGCAAUGACAAGCAAGGAGGCAAAACGCGAAGACGAUGAUCGUCGCAAUAAAUGACGGCGUAACGAAUGGAACAGCAAUUUUCCGGACUGGUGGACUUACAUUCUAAACGGAUGUACUAUUAUUAGAUCGCAGUUUGAUAUUGGCUUUGCCUUUCAAUUAAUAUGGGAAAGCCUCGAGGCUUAUCUGAUCUACGAUCUCUCUAGUUUUAAUCUGGAAAAAAUCAAUUAACUAAAUGAUCUUAUCGUAUUAAAUUUGAUAAUAAAUUAAACGUAACACAACGAUCGCUUUGUUCGAUAAAAUUCAUGCCUUAUUUUUUU